AUAGGAACACAAUACACAAGCAUGAAUCAUUCGUUUGCACACCAAGUACUUCGCUUUUCAUAACACAAUUCACAUGUACAUUUACACAAUUCACAACCAACAUAUAGAGCAUACUAGACAAAGCUACACACUUCAUGAUACACAUGGCAUUGAAUAUAUCGGAUUAGUCUACUAGUUGAGCCUCUUAACAAAGGUAAACACUUCCUAUCAGUAGUCUGAAAGGACUCCAGCGUCAGACCGCUCGGUGGCCGUCCGUUCCUUCCAAAUCUAAUGCUCAAGAUUUUCCUCGUAUUGCAGAAAAAAAUCGGGAAAAACCACGAGCAUAAUCCCCUCCCCCUAAUCCCUGGCGACCCAUCUCCCAUAGUCAACCGCACCGCUCGAGCUCUGCCUCCGCCUCGCCACCAGCUCCGCUCGCGAGAUCCACUGCCCCGCCGCCCUCGCGUCGAUACUUCACCGGCCAGCUCCGCCCACCUCCCACCGCGACCUCUCCCGCCAGCUUCGAUCCGCCAAGUGCCUUCACCUCACCGGCCAGCUCGAUCCGCCCUGUACCUCCAUCUCACCGGCCAGCUUCUGCCCUCACGUUCCUCCUUCGAUCCUCGCCGUCGAGCAUCAGGGCUGCCCCGUAAUCCUCUCCACCGAUGCGAAUCCCGGGAGACGGUGCACCAUCCUGGCAUUAGCAGAUCGAGCACCCCAUCCUCAUCUAUGAUUGGUGCUUCGCCAGGCCCCUCCAUCGUUUGAAUCGGCUGCACUCGGGGGUUCACCGGCUGGCCGUAGAAGAGGGGCAUUGGAUUGCAAAAAUUCCGCCAUAUUUGGAGCGCCCCGUCUCCAAAUCGAAGGGUGGAUCACCGGCCAUGAACAGUGGAAAAACCUUUGGACCACCUGAACGUGGAAGGAUGCGGGACAAUUGUUGCUGGUGUUUGCAUUGUACUGAGACGGCAGAAAAUCUAACCUUAUGAUCCAUUACUGUUGUUCGAAUCAACUUUCUUGGAAGUAAAUCGUAGCAAGUUUUAGUUUUUUAUUA